rnacentral:rRNA from 1 species
AACGAACGCUGGCGGCAUGCCUAACACAUGCAAGUCGAACGAAGCCUUCGGGCUUAGUGGCGCACGGGUGCGUAACGCGUGGGAAUCUGCCCUUGGGUUCGGAAUAACAGUUAGAAAUGACUGCUAAUACCGGAUGAUGUCUUCGGACCAAAGAUUUAUCGCCCAAGGAUGAGCCCGCGUAGGAUUAGGUAGUUGGUGGGGUAAUGGCCCACCAAGCCGACGAUCCUUAGCUGGUCUGAGCGGAUGAUCAGCCACACUGGGACUGAGACACGGCCCAGACUCCGACGGGAGGCAGCAGUGGGGAAUAUUGGACAAUGGGCGAAAGCCUGAUCCAGCAAUGCCGCGUGAGUGAUGAAGGCCUUAGGGUUGUAAAGCUCUUUUACCAGGGAUGAUAAUGACAGUACCUGGAGAAUAAGCUCCGGCUAACUCCGUGCCAGCCGCCGCAGUAA